AUACGUAUGUCGCAAGCGUUAUCCGGAAUUAUUGGGCGUAAAGCGAGUCUAGGCGGCUUGUUAAGUCAGAUGUGAAAAUGCGGGGCUCAACUCCAUAUUGCGUUUGAAACUGGCAGGCUAGAGUACUGGAGAGGUGGGCGGAACUACAAGUGUAGAGGUGAAAUUCGUAGAUAUUUGUAGGAAUGCCGAUAGUGAAGACAGCUCACUGGACAGAUACUGACGCUAAAGCUCGAAAGCGUGGGGAGCGAACAGGAUUAGAAACCCCAGUAGUCC
rnacentral:rRNA from 1 species